rnacentral:rRNA from 1 species
GGCUCAGGAUGAACGCUAGCUACAGGCUCAACACAUGCAAGUCGAGGGGCAGCAUUAGGUAGCAAUACUGUGAUGGCGACCGGCGCACGGGUGCGUAACACGUAUCCAAUCUGCCCGUUACUCGGGGAUAGCCUUCUGAAAGGAAGAUUAAUACCCGAUGGCAUGUAUUUCCGGCAUCGGAGAUACAUUAAAGAUUUAUCGGUAACGGAUGAGGAUGCGUACGAUUAGCUAGUUGGCGGGGUAACGGCCCACCAAGGCUACGAUCGUUAGGGGUUCUGAGAGGAAGGUCCCCCACACUGGAACUGAGACACGGUCCAGACUCCUACGGGAGGCAGCAGUGAGGAAUAUUGGUCAAUGGUCGGAAGACUGAACCAGCCAAGUAGCGUGAAGGAUGAAGGUUCUAUGGAUUGUAAACUUCUUUUGUUUGGGAAUAAAAGACGCUACGUGUAGCGUUGUGCAUGUACCUUACGAAUAAGCAUCGGCUAAUUCCGUG